rnacentral:rRNA from 1 species
GACGAACGCUGGCGGCGUGCUUAACACAUGCAAGUCGAACGGAAAGGCCCUGCUUUUGUGGGGUGCUCGAGUGGCGAACGGGUGAGUAACACGUGAGUAACCUGCCCUUGACUUUGGGAUAACUUCAGGAAACUGGGGCUAAUACCGGAUAGGAGCUCCUGCUGCAUGGUGGGGGUUGGAAAGUUUCGGCGGUUGGGGAUGGACUCGCGGCUUAUCAGCUUGUUGGUGGGGUAGUGGCUUACCAAGGCUUUGACGGGUAGCCGGCCUGAGAGGGUGACCGGCCACAUUGGGACUGGGAUACGGCCGAGACUCCUACGGGAGGCAGCAGUGGGGAAUAUUGCACAAUGGGCGGAAGCCUGAUGCAGCAACGCCGCGUGCGGGAUGACGGCCUUCGGGUUGUAAACCGCGUUCGCCUGUGACGAAGCGUGAGUGACGGUAAUGGGUAAAGAAGCACCGGCUAACUACGUG